rnacentral:rRNA from 1 species
AGUCACUGACAUUAGAUACCCCUGUAGUCCCAGCCGUAAACAAUGUGCGUUAGGUGUGUCGGUAACCACGCGUUACUGAUGCGCCGAAGAGAAAUCGUGAAACGCACCACCUGGGAAGUACGGUCGCAAGGCUGAAACUUAAAGGAAUUGGCGGGGAGCACCACAACAGGUGGAGCCUGCGGUUUAAUUGGAUUCAACGCCGGACAUCUCACCGGAUAAGACAGCUGAAUGAUUGUCAAUCUGAAGGUUUUACAUGACUAGCUG